AUGGACAUGAGGGCCCCUGCUCAGAUCCUUGGGCUCCUGCUGCUCUGGUUCCCAGGUGCCAGAUGUGACAUCCAGAUGACUCAGUCUCCAUCGUCCCUCUCUGCAUCUCUGGGUGACCGAGUCACCAUCACUUGCAGGGCUAGUCAGGGCAUUAGCAAUUAUUUAAACUGGUACCAGCAGAAACCAGGGAAAGCUCCUAAGCUCCUGAUCUACAGAACAUCCAACUUAGAAGAUGGGGUCCCAUCAAGGUUCAGUGGCAGUGGGUCUGGGACAGAUUAUUCUCUCACCAUCAGCAGCCUGGAGCCUGAAGUCAUUGCAACUUAUUACUGUCUACAGUAUGAUGAGCUUCCUCCCACAGUGAAUGCUCUUCCUGUUUACUUAAGUAAUAUU